rnacentral:rRNA from 1 species
UACGGGGGGGGCAAGCGUUGUUCGGAAUUACUGGGCGUAAAGGGCGCGUAGGCGGCUCGCUAAGUUGGAUGUGAAACUUCUGGGCUCAACCCAGAACCUGCAUUCAAAACUGACGAGCUAGAGUACUGGAGGGGAAAGCGGAAUUCCUGGUGUAGCGGUGAAAUGCGUAGAUAUCAGGAGGAACACCGGUGGCGAAGGCGGCUUUCUGGACAGUAACUGACGCUGAGGCGCGAAAGCUAGGGGAGCAAACAGG